rnacentral:rRNA from 1 species
GAAUUUUGGACAAUGGGGGCAACCCUGAUCCAGCCAUCCCGCGUGUGCGAUGAAGGCCUUCGGGUUGUAAAGCACUUUUGGCAGGGAAGAAAAGGUUCUGGCGAAUAACCGGAACUGCUGACGGUACCUGCAGAAUAAGCACCGGCUAACUACGUGCCAGCAGCCGCGGUAAUACGUAGGGUGCAAGCGUUAAUCGGAAUUACUGGGCGUAAAGCGUGCGCAGGCGGCUCGGAAAGAAAGGUGUGAAAUCCCAGGGCUUAACCUUGGAACUGCACUUUUAACUCCCGAGCUAGAGUAUGUCAGAGGGGGGUAGAAUUCCACGUGUAGCAGUGAAAUGCGUAGAGAUGUGGAGGAAUACCGAUGGCGAAGGCAGCCCCCUGGGAUAAUACUGACGCUCAUGCACGAAAGCGUGGGGAGCAAACAG